AUGGUGGCUGAUUUGUCCAUGGCAUGGUCAGAUCACGCAUCAGACGGUGAUGGGCGCGAACCGGCACCACAGAGCGAAGAGCGCCACCGCGAUGGCCGCUCUGCCGAUCGUGCCCGCUACUAUCCGGCAGCGGCUGCCGCCUGUGGCCAUUGCGCCGGCGCCGGCGGUUUUCUCUUCUUCUUCUUCCUCAACUUUACUGAGCAGCUCAUCAGCUGGCGUCUCCUGCUCCUCGUGACCGUUGCUGAUCUGCACCACGCCGUCGUCCACGGCGUCCGCCUGCUCGCUGUCCUCGGCGACACGUUUUUUCUUAUUCUUCUUGGUCUUCUUGCCACGUUUUGCCCGCUUGGCGCGACCAGCGCCAUGGCCGGGGUCAUCCUCGCGGAGGGCAGCCCACAUGUUGGCGCCGCCGACCGUUAUGCCUCCCGCCACGGCCGCCGUGCUCGUCCGCCUUGCCACCGUGGUGACCACGUCAAUGAACUCUUCUUUCUCUUCCUCUUUACUCAUCUCUUCUUCCGCCGCUUCUUCCUCUUGUUUACUGGUGACCUCCUCUUCUUCUUCGCUCGGCGUCGGCGACACGGCCGCCGUCUCCUUCUCCUCGCGACCGUCGGUUACCUCCUCCUCGCCGUCCGGCACGGUGGUGGCCUGCUUGUCUUCCGCAGCAACGUCGGUAUGCACCUUGCUGCCGUCGUCCACGAUAGCCGCCGGCGCCGUCUCCUUCUCCUCGCGACCGUCCGUUACCUCGUCGCCCGCCGGCACGGUGACCGUGGCCUGCUUGUCUUCGUCCACCUCCAUGAUAGCAGCCGGCGCCGUCUCGUGCUGCUCGGCGGCGCUAGCAGUGGGCGGCGUCUCCUCUACCGCUACCUCGACGACGGCGGCGACCUUUUCGUGCUCUCGGCCGCCGACGACAUCAGCGCUGUGGCCGGGGCCGUUGUCGCAGAGGAAAUCCCACAUGUCGGUCCCGCCGACUGUGAUGACGACUCCCGCCACGGCCGCCUUCACCGUCCGGCAGCGGACGCCACCCACUAG
rnacentral:rRNA from 1 species